rnacentral:tRNA from 1 species
GCCUGGGUGGCUCAGUCGGUUAAGUGUCUGACUUUGGCUCAGGUCAUGAUCUCACGGUUCGUGAGUUCGAGCCUCACGUCAGGCU